AGAGUUUGAUCAUGGCUCAGGACGAACGCUGGCGGCGUGCCUAACACAUGCAAGUCGAGCGGGGAACUUCGGUUCCCAGCGGCGGACGGGUGAGUAACACGUGGGUAACCUGCCUUGUAGAGGGGGAUAGCCUUCCGAAAGGAAGAUUAAUACCGCAUAAUAUUAUUUCUUCGCAUGAAGAGAUAAUCAAAGGAGCAAUCCGCUACAAGAUGGACCCGCGGCGCAUUAGCUAGUUGGUGAGGUAACGGCUCACCAAGGCGACGAUGCGUAGCCGGCCUGAGAGGGUGAACGGCCACAUUGGAACUGAGACACGGCCCAGACUCCUACGGGAGACAGCAGUUGGGGAUAUUGCACAAUGGAGGAAACUCUGAUGCAGCGACGCCGCGUGAGGGAAGAAGGUUUUCGGAUUGUAAACCUCUGUCUUCGGGGACGAUAAUGACGGUACCCGAGGAGGAAGCCACGGCUAACUACGUGCCAGCAGCCGCGGUAAUACGUAGGUGGCGAGCGUUGUCCGGAAUUACUGGGUGUAAAGGGAGCGUAGGCGGUUUGGUAAGUUGAGUGUGAAAUCUACCGGCUUAACUGGUAGGCUGCGCUCAAAACUACCAAACUUGAGUGAAGUAGAGGCAGGCGGAAUUCCCGGUGUAGCGGUGGAAUGCGUAGAUAUCGGGAGGAACACCAGUGGCGAAGGCGGCCUGCUGGGCUUUUACUGACGCUGAUGCUCGAAAGCAUGGGGAGCAAACAGGAUUAGAUACCCUGGUAGUCCAUGCCGUAAACGAUGGAUACUAGGUGUGGGUAAGCAAUUAUCCGUGCCGCAGCUAACGCAAUAAGUAUCCCACCUGGGGAGUACGGCCGCAAGGUUGAAACUCAAAGGAAUUGACGG
rnacentral:rRNA from 1 species